UCCUCGGUAGCUCAACGGCAGAGCAUCCGACUGUUAAUCGGAGGGUUGUUGGUUCGAAUCCAACCCGAGGAG
rnacentral:tRNA from 1 species